AGGCCGUCGCAGGCCUCAGCCCGCCCCGGAGGAGGGGGAACCCGGCAAGCGACUUAGUGCGUGCGAAGCGCGACAUGGCGGCGAGGCCGACGAGCCCCGGUGGCCCCGAGUGUACGGCGAAGGGGGAGGGGCUAGAGAGGCCUUGACAACCAUUAGAUCGCCUGGGGCCGGGCGGCUCGGAAACUACAUUUCCCAGAGGGCCCCGCGUGCCGCGGGACGGAGGGGAAGCGCCUCGAGUGCAGUGCGCAGGCGCGAGAGCUUCCCCUGGUUAUAUAAGAGAAGUCUGGGGCUCUUUUCUUUCUUUUGCGUCUUCGGCUCCUUCGCCUCGUUGUGUUUUGUGGGGUGCCCGGCAACCCGCGUUUGCUACUGUAUGUGGUCGGCGCCAUCCAUCCGAGGGUACAGAAUGGAUCCCAGAGGAGGGGGUCGCUGCUGGGUCUUCAAGAGAGCCCCCCGUAGAGCUCUACAGCCUUUCGUCUCCUGAUCUCCGGCGUAAGCAUUUGGAUCCUGGCCUGUCGUAGGAAAUGCGUGGUCUGGGAGCCUCUUCGUGUGCUGGGCAAACUGGAGGGAAAAAAUGCAGAUUCAGCCGUAGCUAAUUUUACUUGCAAGUAAGAGUUACUGUUGGCUGAAAGCAGACUUCGAGUAGACCAGGAAUGAGAUGUUGGUUAGGAACCCUGUGAGCCACAGGACCAUACGUAGAUGCAGCCUGAUGAGCUUGGUUCAUUCUGACCUGCGGCAGGAAUUUCUCAACUAUGGAGCUGGUCCCAAGUCUUGGAAAAGAUUGAUCCUGUGCUUUCCUGAGAAAGUGAUAGUUCUGGUUGAAUCUGUCUCACAAAGGUUUUAUGUAACCUGAGGACUGUCUAGAGGCCUGUGCCCAUUUUGAAGAAUCCAGGAUUAUGGUUAAACUUGGUAAACAUUUUUAGUUUGUAUCAUUCCUAUCUGGAGAGAGAAAAUAAAAUUCUUAAAACAAAAA